rnacentral:rRNA from 1 species
UACGUAGGGGGCUAGCGUUGUCCGGAAUCAUUGGGCGUAAAGAGCGUGUAGGCGGUCCGGUAAGUCCGCUGUGAAAGUCGGGGGCUCAACCCUCGAAUGCCGGUGGAUACUGUCGGGCCAGAGUGCGGAAGAGGCGAGUGGAAUUCCUGGUGUAGCGGUGAAAUGCGCAGAUAUCAGGAGGAACACCUAUUGCGAAGGCAGCUCGCUGGGACGUAACUGACGCUGAGACGCGAAAGCGUGGGGAGCAAACAGG